ensembl:lncRNA
ACUACAAAAUGUUCAUCAAGAGAAAAUAAAUAAUUGUGUUGACAGAACUUUUAACGUUGCACAAAAAAUAUUAUGUUGGCCGAGCAAGAGGGAACAGCGUCAAUCGUCUGAGCAUGCGCAAAGUUCUAUCAGGCGCCUCCUGGAAUUUCCCCCACCACGAGUCACGACAUUGCAGUGGUGAGUGCUUUGUGCUGCGAGCAGAAGAAAGAAAUUCAUACAGGUUUGAAACAACAUGAGGGAUACUGAGGCACUGGGGCCACACACAAAGGCCAUGAAAAUGGGGAUCCUGGAAGUGACUGACAGUUCUACCAACUCAGGACCAUAUCCCACAGUGGUCAAUGUGGCUGUAGUACUGGAGGAAGAAGUUGUCAUGUUUUACUGAAUUUCAUUUUGUAAAGCAGAUAUUUGUUUUUCCAGUACAGCUAUUGACUAAGAGUGAUAUGUCAUGCUUUCUUGAACUCUCAGAUCUUGUUUUGGCACUGGUUGAAUACUUGUGUAAUAUUUUACUUGAGCCUAACAGGCAAGUUCAUAUGUAUUUAAAUAAAUACAUAAAAUGUUCUUUAUCAAAGCAUAGUGUGUAAUUUAUUUGAAAUAAUGAAAAAUAGACUAUUUUGACCAACAUUAAUGAAAAAUAGACUUAUUGGCCAACAUUAAAUAUUUAAUACAACAUUUUAUUUCAAUUUGAGUCUGCUUGUUGGCCCAACAAGCUAUGUUUAGUCAACAGAAAAUAUUUAAUUGACACAACAUUCUAUUUCAAGUUCAGUCUACAUGCAGGGGUAGUCAGCACAACACAAAAAAGUUGGUUUCCGCAACUUAAAUUGGGCCAACUAAAAAUUUUAGGUGCAACGGGUCACUAGAAAUUUUUAUGUUG